rnacentral:lncRNA from 1 species
UAAAACUACAGCAAUAUUUUGUGUGCAAAGAAUUGUAACUGCAAUGCAGUUGUCAUUCCUCGGAGUAGCUUCGUGACCAUUUUCUCUGCGGGGCUGCUUGCCUGUCUGUGGAGGUUUCUCCUUGACAAUGACACAGAGAGACCUGUGUGCUACAUGCUACUGGGGGGGGGUCCUUUAUUCCACAGCCGGCGUUUCUCUGUCCACCCCAACCCCCAUUUCCACACACCCCUUUUGCAACUUCCUUGAAGCAGCCAUAGUGACCUAUAUGCAUAUUCUGGCAGCUCAGAGCAGCCGCCGGCGGAAAACCCUCCUCGCGUCUCCCCCACCCCCUCACCCACCCCACACACCCCCCCGCCGCCAAUUGUGGUGCUUUGCAAAUUGACACCAACCUCUCCCGCCUCUUUGCUGUCUUUCAACACGUCGCCGAGGGUCGCGGCCAAUAGGAAAAAUCGGCGCGGCUACCUCCGUCCAAUAAGCCGGAACAAACGAAGCGGUUGCCAGGCAGAUUGGUGAAGGUAGGCCCAAUGGGAGAAGAGCUCCUCCAGCGCAGAGGAGGGAGGAGGCGGUGGCGACGGGGAGAACCGAGAAGGACCGAACGAGGAGGCCGGGCCGGCGGGAGAGGCCGAGCGGGUCAGCCCGCUCUUUGAAUAUCCGGGAUGCCCUACAAGCUGAAGAAAGAGAAGGAGCCUCCAAAGUCUACUAAAAACACUACAAAAGCCAGCAGUGGUAGUAGCAGCAGCAGCAGCAGCACUGGUACCAGCGGGAAAGAUGGCGGCACAGAGAAUUCAGACGAGGUCGGGCAUUUAUUCUGUGAAGCAUUAAGUCCUUUUCUGAAUGAUGUAGAGUCCCUAGCAGACUGGCUUGGUUUUAAAUUCAAUCUGAAUAUUACACUUCUUGAAAGUGACUUUAAAGGGUGCAAUCCUGUAUACAUUUGCUGGAGUGUAAGUCCGAUUGAACACAAUGACAUUUGCUUCCAGGUCGACAACUGCAUAAGAUUCUACUGUGAAACACUUAGUUAAAGUUUCUAUCUUUGCGCAGGAAGGAACAGCAUCUUGCCUAUGUAUUGUUGCUUUCAAAAAGAACACACUCUGUGUGUUUGUGUGUGUUUCUGUAGGUGUGCGCACGUAUAGCAGGCAGGCGUACAGAUCCAGCUAGUGGGCUAAAAGAUGACAUGUGCUAUGGUUUAAAAUUGUCAGAAUCCCCAUUGCUAACAUUUGAAUUAGAUAACACAUGUAAGAUGGGUGACUGAAGACCAGAGAGGUCUGUAUCUGGUUCUAUAGACCAUAUUUCAAAUGUCCCUAAGGAAGCUCCGGUGUGGAUGAGGCAUUGAAAAAUCCCCAUGUUCUAGGGCUCUCCAGAGUUAUUUCAUGUCCUGCUUCUGGUGUAGUAAUUUGUUGCAAGUUUCAGGAAUUAAUUUUGGUGCUGGGAAUAGGGGUGGAAUUAGUAAAGGGAAGGUUUAAGUAAACAGGAGAAAUUAAAGUCUUGAAAAUACUGAAGUAAUGCGAGUCAUUCUAUUAUAUGCUUGUUUAGUAAGUAUGGUGUCUAAGAGACUAAAAUAUGAAAGUUGAGUCUCGCUUUGAUGGUGAAACUUUAAAGUGACUUCCAAGUAAGUUCCUCAGCUCCUAGAGCAUCACCCAUCCCCUAUUUGCAACUUGGAGAAAGUCAUACAGACCUAUUAUGCAGUGCUAAAUAUUAUAGUGAGCUAAUGUGCUGAAAUAUUCGGGAUGCUUUGAAACAGUAUGUAAAUGUUGCUGAUUAUUUAUGUGGUUUGUAUUAGGAGCAGUAAUUGCGAUUAUUUCCUAAGCUUCUUCACAUCAAAAGGUGAGGCGUCUUAAGUAAAUGGGACAGAGAUUAAGACCAAAACAUUGAGGGAAGUAAAUGGAGCAUGUAUGUAGCCUGCAAAGUUGAAGCCACCGAAAGCCCAUUGGCGCACAGUAUUAAUGGCAGAGGAAUCUAUGGGAGUGAUGUAUGUUUCAGUAGAGGGCAUUAAUGGAGUCGUCUGUGGCAUAGAAGAAUAAC